AAUGACAUGAAGAAGUGAACUUUUUUUUUCUACUAAAAUGGAGAAAAUAGUGAUAAUGAAAUAUAGAACUGCAUGAUAAAAAGUGAAUAAUGUGAUCUUACAAAGCUUUUGAAUGUAUCUUAUCGACAUAAUAAAUGUUCCGGCGAGCUCCUAUUUGGGCCCGGAAGUGGAAUGGUUAUUGGUAACUAUGGAAUUCAAUUAUCUUUGAAUAACUGGCCUUCCUUUUUUCAAGUGAAAAGGUCAAUAGGUUUUUCUUUACAGUAUUUUGGAAAACCUUAUAGUAGGAAAUACUCGUUAAAUGAUUCAGGAUCUUACCUGUUUGUCUUGGUGAGCUCCAAUUUGGGCCCAAGUUUUUAUGUUGCUGCUUGGUGAGCUCCUUUCGGGCCCAGGCUUUUAAGCUUUGAAUAUGUUUGGUAAGCAACAACAAGUUACAUAUUUUUCUUCACAGCGUAUAUUUCAGAGUCUUAUUCGAAAUCUUUAUGAUAAGUUCGAGUAUGAAUAGGAAAUUCAAAGCUUCUUAUGACUCUGGCGAGCUCCGUACGGGCCCGGGGUUUGGUAAGCAUUUUAUUUAAGUAAUCAGAGGAAGUUUUCGAGCUCUUACAGAUUCUUCAAUUCCCUCAAAUUUGAGUAUUGAUAUCUACUUCUUACCCCGUCAAGUAUAUUUUCAACUCUUUAAGUACGAGAGGUUGAUACAAGUCAGCCAUCCUUGGGACUGUGAAAUUCUCAGGUAUUAUCCAGCAUGGUGAGCUCCGUAUGGGCCCGUGUUUUUUUGACAUAUCCCUUUACCUGAAUUAAGUGCUAUUUUACAUAGCUCUGGGGUUAAUAUAUAGGGGGGGUUUUCCUGCUUGCAGAUAUGAAUACUUAUUUGCAUCAAUUUUAAGAAGUUGUUAAAAUAAUGACCGGAGUCCUCUCAGAUCUUAGAAAGAUACGUCCAAAUUUUUUAAAUGGAUAACCCGGAAAUUUCAAAACUCGACGAAGUUUUUCUAUUCUGAAAAAAAAGUGUGGAACAUGAUGGCUACUUAUUGAAAAUUUUGAAACAGAUAAGUUUAAGGAUAUGACAUUCGUAUUAUUGGGGAAAUAGUUAGGGUGGGGAUAUAUGUUACCUUCCCUCUUGUUAAAUUUUUACAGAAUCGAGGUACCUGGCCAACCGUAGUGGCUUAUCACCUACAACGAUCAAAUUUCAACUAUUGAACAGAUAAGUUAAAAGGAUAAGACAUUCAUAUUAUUGGGGAAAUAGCUAGGGGGGGAAAUCAAGUUACUUUUCCCUCUUGUUAAAUCUUACAGGAUUGAGAUAUCCGAUCAACCCUGUGGCUUUUUUACAUCUGCGUUCGUCACAUUUCAACUUUGAAAAAGAUAAGUUUAAAGGAUAUAACACAUAUUAUUGGGGGAAAUGGGUUGGGGAAACAUCGCCUACCCUUUUUGUCAAGUUUUACAGGAAAAUGUAUCAUGCCAGUCCCUAUGGCUCUUUUCCAUCUACAACGAACCUAAUACAACUUUCAAGGAUAUCUAUUUGACCUUACCCGCUAUGGGCCUUUGAUCCGAUAUCGCCACGUAAAAGCUGAAAUAAUAAUCUGGUGAGCUCCUCUUGGGCCCAGAUUCCUCAAUUGGCAAAUCUACUCAACUUGUUCGUAAUGUAUAGUUCCAAGUCAUUAUUUCGAUUCCUAUAGGGCGGGACUAUUCGGGUUCAAGAGUCUUUCUUGUGUUACAGAAAUUCAGACUUGUUCCUGUGUCGGUGAGCUCCGUAUGGGCCCGACGAGUUCUUAACCUACGUGAAGAGAUAAUUAAAGUGCAAUUUAAAUUUAAUGAAGAUAUGCUUGAUAUCCGCCUCAACCUUCCAAGUAUAUUGAUUUUUUGACAAAUUUGUAAAUGUUUUUUUCACAUUGUAUUAUUGUAAAUGUGUUUUUAUUGUUAUUUCAAUUUUUUUGUGGCGAUGUUUUUUUUCUUUUUGUAACCUCAGAUGUAAGUGUUAGAAAUAAUUUGGUUUGAAGCCUCAAAAAUGGAAACCAAUGUCUAGGAAAAUGAGAUAAAUGGAUUAAGUGGUAAAUUUAUGAAAUAUCAAAAGUGGCCUUCAUGUACGGGGAAUAUGUGGUUAGGAUAUAAGAAGUUGAGAAAAAUUUCCUUUUGAGAUACCUUUUGGCUCAAUUAUACAACUUCAGUAAAUUUUUUACCCUACUUGAAUUGCGUAUGGUUCGUUCUGGGAUGGCCUAUGGGACCCGUUCAAUUUCGUCUUGUUCUAAAUUAUUCAUGUUUUGGACCCCUAAAGGAUAUCAAUUUUCUUCUAUCUUUAUAUACGGGUUUUCUUCGUUAUCAUAGCUUUUUCGAUUUGUUUUUGUUUUGCUGGUGCUGGCGCUGGAAGAAUGAACUCUGGUUGUUGAAGAAGGAAAGUAAUCAAAGAAGAAUGAUUGCAAUUGUGGUGAGCUCCUAGGGCCCACAUUGUAGUCAGUGGAAAGAAGAGAGAGAUAUCCAAGUGUCCUCUUUGAGGUACUUGGAUUAUCUCUGCCAAUGGUGUGUGUGGAUUCUCCAGUCUUAACUGUAAAGUUUUGAAGGUUAUUAUGUUAUUACACAAGUAGCAUUACGAUUUAAAUUGGCGAGCUCCUAGAUGGGCCCGAUUGCAGAUUUUAUGACGGUUAGGUACAUUUCGUUUACGAAGCACCGCGUUUGAAUUCAUAUGUCCAGCUAUGGAAUUCCUAAGUCAAUGUUACUUCUGCUGGUGGUUUUCCUCCGGGUACUCCGGUUUCCACCUUUUAAAAUAUUGAUUAAAUGAAUUAAGGAAAUAAUAAUGAAAUAAUUAAAGAAA
rnacentral:misc_RNA from 1 species